AUAGUGCACACACCUAUAUUCUACUCAAUUGUGAGGAUCCAUUGAUGCGUUAUUUUGAAAUGUAACAUAUAUGGACACUUCUAAACACAUAUAAGUAUAUAAUUGCGAAAGAUUAAUUAAUAUAAAAUGUGAUUUUACAGCCUAUUUGUUCUCAAGUCGAAGAAACAUUUCCAUGUAUAUCCACAAGUGACGUAGACAAAAGGAAAGAUCAACACUUUAU
rnacentral:lncRNA from 1 species